GAUCUAUAAAGUUCAAAUUUGCAUAGUCUUCAUCGAUUUUAUAGUGUGUAAAUUUAUAAACUGAGUACCAAAGAUUCGUAGGGCGUGCGUAUUGUAGAAUGUGUAAGCUUCCAAAUCGAAAGUCCAAGUUAAAUACGAAAUAGUAGAAACCGAAGGUGAAGAGAAAGAUAGUGGAAUCUGAUGAUUAUGAUGCUAGUGUUAAAAGAGAUAAUUGCCUAGUUAUCGUCUUUUUUUUUUUUUUAGGAAAGACUUGAGAACUUUAGGUUUUGUUUUUGUUUCUAAUCAAAUCACUUAACGUCCUAAUUAAUUAUGCGUUGAUGUAUUUUAAAUUUUAAAUUU
rnacentral:sRNA from 1 species